ACGCCCCCAUCAACCCAGUCAGCCACGCGCAGUCUACAGCAUCUUUGUGGUGCCAAACCGGCGAAUUUGUUUUCCCCGACUUUUAGAAUUUGUUCAAGUUACAAAUGACAUGCAAUCGGAGUAAGCCACACGCAAGAGUAUAUCUACGGAGAGGAAACUAAAACGACGUGCUCAGUUUUAGCUACAGAAGGGACAUUACUGCUUGCUCUUCUAGCUAGCUAUAGCGUGCAGGGCUGUACUACAGUAGUCAGAUAAACUAUCGAUUGAGUUCCGAAGAGGCAAUGUCUUUUCGUCGACAGAACCAACAACCCGGUUCAUGCGGACGAAAAACCUCCAAUGGAACGGCAGGGCCAGCCGGUUUACCCCCUCAUAUCAGCGGGAGUAAUACCAACAGAGCUGUGCCUGGAAGGACAAGAAAUACAAUGAAGCCGCCAUCUCAGUCCUCUCCCGUUUUUGAAGGUGUCUACAACAACACCAGGAUGCUUCACUAUCUCACAGCUGUAGUGGGCUCCACCUGUGACGUCCGAGUGAAGAGUGGAAAUGUGUAUGAAGGCAUCUUCAAGACCCUCAGCGCAAGGUGUGAGCUGGUGGUCGACGCGGUCCACAAGAGGAGUGAGGGAGGAGAGGCGGAUGGAGACGGAGGGGGAGGCUUGCCACCCUCUCUGCCCAGGAUCGAGGAGAUCACAGACACCAUGAUCUUCAGCCCCGGCGACCUGGUCACAAUGACUUGCCGAGAUGUGGACCUCAACUACGCCAUCAGAGAUGCUUUCACAGAUACAGCCAUCAGCUCAUCGCGGGUGAACGGGGAACACCGGGAGAAGGUGCUGCAGCGGUGGGACGGAGGCGACAGCAAUGGAGAAGGCUUCGACCUGGAGACUGACACGUCUAAUGGCUGGGAUGCCAGCGAAAUGUUCAAGUUUAACGAGGAGACAUAUGGCGUCACGUCCACCUACGAUUCCAGCCUCUCCAUGUACACUGUUCCCCUGGAAAGGGGCAGCUCGGAUGGCUUUCGGCAGCGGGAGGCACGUGCGGCCCGCCUAGCGAAUGAGAUCGAGGGAAGCCCCCAGUACCGUCACCGCACCAACCUGGAGAACGACGAUAAGAGCGAGGAGGACAAGUACAGCGCCGUGGUCCGAGAGAGAGAUGAGGGGAGGGAGAGGGGCAGCCCUGGAUUCCAGAGUAGUGCCGGGAGCAGGGAGGGUAAAUACAUUCCUCUUCCCCAGAGGGCCAGGGAGAUGGGUGUGUCCCCCAGCAGCCUGAGGGGCGGAGCCUCUGGUCCAAUACCCAGUCGAACAGGAGUCCCCGGCUCUUCUAGGCCCUCCCAGGGUUCUGAUAGGAGCAGCCCGCUGUCCGUCAGGAGCGCCUACUCUCCCCACCAGUCCCAAGCCAGCCCCCCGGCCCAGCCCAGUAGCCCUACCCCCUCUUCCUCCUGUCACCCGAUCCCUCACUCCAUCUCUCACCCACAAGCUCUAGCCGAUGCCUCACGCUCUUCUGUCAACGGAGUGUCAUCCAGAACUUCUCCCAAAGCCCAGAGAUCCGUACAGACCAAUAGAACUCUGCGUAACCCAAGUUCCCAGUCCUCACCUGCAGUCUCUCGCUCUCCAAAACUAGACGACCCCGUUCUGGCUGGCCCUGCCUACCUGGACACUUCCUCCUCCUCGAUCUCCUCGGCAACACCCAAGUCCUCUGGCCCCACCCCUCUGUUCACUGUGGAUGUGAAUGAGAUCCUGAGCUCAGCGGCUAAGGAGAGGACAGAAGGCCCAGCCAGCCCUCAGGACGGCAAGAGCGGCAAAGUUCCCUCAGUCCUGCAGAGAACACAGCUGGAGGAGCUCCGGAAAUUUGGCAAAGAGUUCAGGCUCCAGCCCAGCUCCUCCCCUUCUGCUGGCCCCACUUCCUCAGAGCCCGCCCAGCCCUCCCCAUCAGACUCCGCCACCACAGCCGAGUCUAUACCCGCCCCUGGCCACACCCCCUCCCAGGACCCCCAGCCUGGAGAGGGGUCCUCCUUCACCCCGAACCCCACCACCCCUACCCUUUCUCCAGCCCCCAACACCACCUCUCAGUCAUCAGGUCCAGACAGACAGGCUGCAGGGACACCCCAGCCAGCCAGGACCCCUGGCAGCGAGGAGGGCGGCGAGCGAGUGGAGGGCGUAGCUGACCAGGUGAAGAAGUCUACGCUGAACCCCAACGCCAAAGAGUUCGUCUUCAAGGCACCCAUGACCCUGGUCUGUCUCGCUCUCACACACACACACACACACACACACACACACACAGAGAGGGAAGUAGUUGAGAACAAAUUCUCUCUCACAACAACCUGUUUGGCCAGGAGUUCAACUAUGUUCAUAACAACUCACACACCAAAUGUAACUGUGUGUGUGAUUUGUUCAACUAAACACACACACUUUAUCUCACAAACCAACCUAAACCGUGCACCUUCUCCCCAGGUGAAGCCGUCCCCAGCCCCCACCCCCCCGCGGCCUACUCCUCUCAGCCCCUCCGUGGUGCUCCAGCCCCCCCCAGGACAACAGGCCAUCUACAGCACCCCCUACCUGUCCUACCUCUCCCCCGUACAGAUACAGGGACACUCUGUACAGCCUCCCCAGAUGUAUCAGUACACCAUGUCCACAGUCCAGCAGGGGAAGUAUCCCAGAGCUAAAGGCCAGGUGGUAGGCCCUCGUCCGGACCACCACGGCUCUUCUCAGCCCCAGAUGCUCCAGGCUGCAGCAUCUGCAGCAGGCCCUCCCCUGGUGGCCUCCCCCUACCCCCAGGCCUACCUGCAGUACAGUCAGGUCAUCCAGGGCAUGCCCCACUACCCCGGACAGCCGGUGUACUCCAUGCUGCAGGGUGGGGCCAGGAUGUUGACUCAGGCAGGCCACCCCCAGGCUCUGGGCCCCCCAGGCCCUCAGUACCCCGGACAGACCGAGGGGCCCCCGGGACCACAACAGACCAUGUAUGCUCCCCAGCAGUUCUCCCACCAUUCUAGCUCCAUGCACCCUCCGCAGCCCUCCAGCACACCUACUGGUAGCCAGCCCCCUCCCCAGCACACUGCCCCCAGCCCUGGGCACGGACAGUCGGGCCAGGGAGGCCCCCAGCCCCAGUCCAUGUACCACUCUGGGCCCCUGCCAGCACCCACACCCCCUAACAUGCCCCCUGGCCACAGCUCUCCCCAGGCCUCUUACCCCAUGCAGGGCUACAGCCUGCCCACCCACCAGCCCAUGGCCCAACACUACCCCGGCCUGGGACAGCUCACACAGGCCCAUGUUGCCCAAGGUAUGUCUGGCCCCCACCACCAAGGAGGCCACGGCCCGCCCCAGAUGAUGCUGCACUACGCCCCACCCCCACAGCAAGGCCCAGGCUCCGCCCAGCAGCACGGCCCUCCUCCCCAGCAGGGGGCGCACCAACACUACUACAUCCAACACCCACAGGCUGUACAGGUGCAGGCUCACCCCACCCAGCAGCUCUCCUUCCACCCCCCUGGAAACUGACACCCCUACCUACACCUCGAGGACCACAGAAGAAGCAGGACACAGGAUGGAAGAGGGGGAGGGGAAGCUGAGGCCCCCAGUCUUUGACUGACCCAAUCAAGUUGUUCUCUGAUCGGCUAAACUGGUCUGAGAACUGAAGCCCCCUUCUGGAACCACCGCCGCCACUCUCCUCUUGCCCACAAAAUAAGCAACUUGUUUUUUACCCAGAGUCCUUUUAGUUAGAGCCCAUCAAAGGCUCCCUUUCUGCUACUCUGUUUGGGACGGAGAAAAAAAAUGGACUUAUUUUGUUUUUAUGAAAGACAGUCGUCCUCGCUAGCUGGAUCCAUAUGGCGAAAGCAUCGUCUCACAGUAGACUGAAGAGACUCUGCAGAGAAUUAUAGGAGUUAUCACAAUGAGACUUUCUCCCUUUUAACCUGACCUACUUCCUCCCCAUCUCCUUUUACAGACGAUGUCAUGAAGCAAUUCCCGGCUGCAACAAAAUAACAAGUGGGAACGGCGUAAAAACAGUCAAAUGGCUGAAUUGAGAAGCGAUUAAAGAAAAUGAAUAGGAUUAAAUGUAGUUUUUUGUUUGUUCAAUUUUAUUACCAUGACUACAAGUAUCACUGCAAUUAUGCUCCCGUAACAUGUAUUGUGACAAAAGGACAAUAUGUAAU